GCGCGCGCAGGCGGUUUCUUAAGUCUGAUGUGAAAGCCCACGGCUCAACCGUGGAGGGUCAUUGGAAACUGGGGAACUUGAGUGCAGAAGAGAAAAGCGGAAUUCCACGUGUAGCGGUGAAAUGCGUAGAGAUGUGGAGGAACACCAGUGGCGAAGGCGGCUUUUUGGUCUGUAACUGACGCUGAGGCGCGAAAGCGUGGGGAGCAAACAGGAUUAGAUACCCUGGUAGUCCACGCCGUAAACGAUGAGUGCUAGGUGUUAGAGGCUUUCCGCCCUUUAGGGCUGCAGCUAACGCAUUAAGCACUCGGCCUGGGGAGUACGGACGCAAGACUGAAUCUCUAGGGAAUUGACGGGGGGC
rnacentral:rRNA from 2 species